UACGUAGGGUGCGAGCGUUGUCCGGAAUUAUUGGGCGUAAAGAGCUUGUAGGCGGUUUGUCGCGUCUGCUGUGAAAGUCCGAGGCUCAACCUCGGAUCUGCAGUGGGUACGGGCAGACUAGAGUGUGGUAGGGGAGACUGGAAUUCCUGGUGUAGCGGUGGAAUGCGCAGAUAUCGGGAGGAACACCAGUAGCGAAGGCGGCACUCUGGGCCGGUACUGACGCUGAGGAGCGAAAGCGUGGGGAGCGAACAGG
rnacentral:rRNA from 1 species